UACCAGCACCCCGAGUGGUCGGGGCGAUUAUUGGGCCUAAAGCAUCCGUAGCCGGCCUUACAAGUCCUCCGUUAAAUCCAGCUGCUUAACAGAUGGGCUGCGGAGGAUACUAUAAGACUAGGAGGCAGGAGAGGCAAGCGGUACUCAGUGGGUAGGGGUAAAAUCCGUUGAUCCAGUGAAGAACACCAGUGGCGAAGGCGGCUUGCCAGAAUGCGCUCGACGGUGAGGGAUGAAAGCUGGGGGGGCAAACCGG
rnacentral:rRNA from 1 species